AGUCCAUCACCUUCAUCUGCCAUUCUUCCAGAGUGGGUAGUCAUUAUUCCACACAGAGGCCGCCCGUUAUUCCACACAGAGGCCGACAGACUCUGCCUGUCCACACAAAGGAAUCUUUCUGCCUCUGUUUGACUUUCUGCUCCAAGAUACGAAGGGAGCACCUGGUCCUUGAAGAAGGAGGAGGUUCUACCAGGCUUUCAAGUGAUGUAGUGUCCACUGUCGGCUGUAGU